rnacentral:rRNA from 1 species
AUUGAACGCUGGCGGCAUGCUUUACACAUGCAAGUCGAACGGUAACAGGCCUUCUGGUGCUGACGUGUGGCGCACGGGUGAGUAAUGCAUCUGAACGUGCCCAUAGGUGUGGGAUAACGCAGCGAAAGCUGUGCUAAUACCGCACGUGAUCUGAGGAUGAAAGCGGGGGACCAGUCAGCAAUGUUUGGCCUCGCGCCUUUGGAGCGGCCGAUGUCAGAUUAGGUAGUUGGUGGGGUAAAGGCCUACCAAGCCGACGAUCUGUAGCUGGUCUGAGAGGACGAUCAGACACACUGGGACUGAGACACGGCCCAGACUCCUACGGGAGGCAGCAGUGGGGAAUUUUGGACAAUGGGCGCAAGCCUGAUCCAGCAAUGCCGCGUGCGGGAAGAAGGCCUUCGGGUUGUAAAGCGCUUUAGGACGGAACGAAAAGGAUCUGGCUAAUACCUGGGGCUGAUGACGGUACCGUAAGAAUAAGCACCGGCUAACUACGUG